AUGGGGGUCGCCGGCGGCAGCGGCUGCGUGGCCAAGGCGGCGGCGGUGGCGGUGGUGGUGCUGUGCAUGGCUCGGUGGUCGGCCGGUGGCAUGGGCGUGAACUGGGGCACGCAGCUGAGCCACCCGCUGCCGGCGAGCACGGUGGUGCGGCUGCUCAAGGACAACGGCUUCGACCGGGUGAAGCUGUUCGACGCCGAGGACGGCAUCCUGGGCGCGCUCAAGGGGUCGGGGAUCCAGGUGAUGGUCGGCAUCCCCAACGACAUGCUCUCCGACCUCGCCGGCAGCACCAAGGCCGCCGAGCGCUGGGUCACGGCCAACGUCUCCAAGCACGUCAACGACGGCGUCGACAUAAGGUUGGUGGCCGUCGGGAACGAGCCGUUCCUGCAGACGUUCAACGGCACGUACCUGAACACGACGUUCCCGGCGAUGCAGAACAUCCAGGCGGCGCUGAUGGCGGCCGGGCUGGGCGGCCAGGUGAAGGUGACGGUGGCGCUGAACGCCGACGUCUACCAGUCGGCGACGGGGAAGCCGUCGGACGGCGACUUCCGUGCGGACAUCCACGGGCUCAUGCUCGACAUCGUGCAGUUCCUGGCGUCCAGCGGCGCGCCGUUCGUGGCCAACGUGUACCCGUUCAUCAGCCUGUACGCGGACCCCAACUUCCCGCUGGACUACGCCUUCUUCCAGGGCUCCACCUCGCCGGUGGUGGACGGCGGCGUGAUGUACCAGAACACCUUCGACGCCAACCACGACACGCUGGUGGCGGCGCUGCGCAGGAACGGGUUCCCCAACGUGACCGUCGUGGUCGGCGAGGUCGGCUGGCCCACGGACGGCGACGCCAACGCCAACCCGGCGUACGCGCAGCGGUUCAACCAGGGCCUCCUGGACCACGUCGCCUCCGGGAAGGGCACGCCGCUGACGCCGGGCGCCCCCGUCGACGCCUACCUCUUCAGCCUGGUCGACGAGGACAGGAAGAGCAUCCAGCCGGGCAACUUCGAGCGCCACUGGGGCAUCUUCUUCUACGACGGGAAGCCCAAGUACCAGCUCAGCCUCCGCGGCAACGGCGGCGGCAUGCUCGUGCCGGCGAGGGGCGUCGAGUACCUCCAGAGGCGGUGGUGCGUGCUCAAGCCCGGCGCCGACCUCGGCGACCAGAAGGUCGGCGACAGCGUCAGCUACGCCUGCGGCAGCGCCGACUGCACCAGCCUCGGGUACAAGACGUCGUGCGGCGGCCUCGACGCCAAGGGCAACGUGUCGUACGCGUUCAACAGCUACUACCAGACCGAGGACCAGGACGACCGGGCCUGCGACUUCCGCGGACUCGCCACCACCACCACCGUCGACCCCUCUACCGGGACGUGCCGGUUCAUCGUCGGGAUCGCCCCGACCAGCGCGGCGACGAGGAACGUCGCCGCCAGGGCAGCGGCCGUCCUCUUCGCGGUGUUGCUCGCGGGCGUGUUCUGA
rnacentral:rRNA from 1 species